rnacentral:tRNA from 1 species
ACCUGGGUGGCUCAGUUGGUUAAGCAUCUGACUUCAGCUCAGGUCAUGAUCUCACAGUUCGUGGGUUCAAGCCCUGCAUCAGGCU